UACAGAGGGGGCAAGCGUUGUUCGGAAUUACUGGGCGUAAAGGGCGCGUAUGCGGCCUGCUAAGUCGAACGUGAAAUCCCCGGGCUCAACCCGGGAACUGCGUCCGAUACUGGCUGGCUUGAAUCCGGGAGAGGGAUGCGGAAUUCCAGGUGUAGCGGUGAAAUGCGUAGAUAUCUGGAGGAACACCGGUGGCGAAGGCGGCAUCCUGGACCGGCAUUGACGCUGAGGCGCGAAAGCGUGGGGAGCGAACAGG
rnacentral:rRNA from 1 species